AUUGAACGCUGGCGGCAUGCUUUACACAUGCAAGUCGAGCGGCAGCGCGGGGGCAACCCUGGCGGCGAGCGGCGAACGGGUGAGGAAUUCAUCGGAACGUACCCCGGAGUGGGGGAUAACGCCGCGAAAGCGGCGCUAAUACCGCAUAUGCUCUGUGGAGGAAAGUGGGGGACCCUGUAAGGGGCCUCACGCUCUGGGCGCGGCCGAUGUCCGAUUAGCUAGUUGGGGGGUAAUGGCUCACCAAGGCGACGAUCGGUAGCUGGUCUGAGAGGAUGAUCAGCCACACUGGGACUGAGACACGGCCCAGACUCCUACGGGAGGCAGCAGUGGGGAAUUUUGGACAAUGGGGCAACCCUGAUCCAGCCAUGCCGCGUGCGGGAAGAAGGCCUCGGUUGUAA
rnacentral:rRNA from 1 species